rnacentral:ncRNA from 2 species
CUCUGGAAAGCAGCCUUUCAUGCGCGAAAGGCUCACCGAAGGAGGCAGCCCCGCAGGCGCCCGCUCUCUUGAGGGUCAGCGCGGGGGAACGCUCUCAGGUUCCCGGACAGAG